AGUGAACGCUGGCGGUAGGCCUAACACAUGCAAGUCGAACGGCAGCACAGUAAGAGCUUGCUCUUACGGGUGGCGAGUGGCGGACGGGUGAGGAAUACAUCGGAAUCUACUUUUUCGUGGGGGAUAACGUAGGGAAACUUACGCUAAUACCGCAUACGACCUACGGGUGAAAGCAGUGGAUCUUCGGACCUUGCGCGAUUGAAUUAGCCGAUGUCGGAUUAGCUAGUUGGCGGGGUAAAGGCCCACCAAGGCGACGAUCCGUAGCUGGUCUGAGAGGAUGAUCAGCCACACUGGAACUGAGACACGGUCCAGACUCCUACGGGAGGCAGCAGUGGGGAAUAUUGGGCAAUGGGCGCAAGCCUGAUCCAGCCAUACCGCGUGGGUGAAGAAGGCCUUCGGGUUGUAAAGCCCUUUUGUUGGGAAAGAAAAGCAGCAGGUUAAUACACCGAUGUUCUGACGGUACCCAAAGAAUAAGCACCGGCUAACUUCGUG
rnacentral:rRNA from 1 species